rnacentral:tRNA from 1 species
GCUGAAGUAGCUCAGCUGGGAGACCAUUAGACUGAAGAUCUAAAGGUCCCUGAUUCAACCCAGGGCUUCAGCA